rnacentral:lncRNA from 1 species
UAGGUCUAAACAAUGCCUCUUUUCUCUUUCUCUUUCUCUUUCUCUUUCUCUUUCUCUUUCUCUUUCUCUUUCUCUUUCUCCUCUCCUCUCCUCUCCUCUCCUCUCCCUCUCUAUAUCCCAAAUUCCCAGGGCUGGACUCCACAGAGGGUGCCAGGAGGCUGCACAGCCAUGCCAGGGGAUUGAGGAACAUGUGUCCCACGCUAACCAGAACUAGCAGAGGCAGCACAGGGAUUUUCCUCUCUCCCAGCAGCACAUCUCCACCUGAGAUGGCUUGUGGUGCUCACAAAGGGACCAUCACAGUGCUGAAAAACAAUGCCAGGAAAAUGCUCAUGUUGUUCAGCAACUGUGACUCCUAUUUCAUGGGACUUCAGGUUUUGCAGACAUUUGGCUUUCUCAGGCUCAGUCUAAAUCCAGGUUUUGGAAGACAAGAGCUGACUGCACAUGAAAUCAAAACGAUAAUGGUGGCAGGAAAUAAUUGGGGGA